CUACAGAGCUAAUGAAAUUUUGAAGGACAUGUAAAUUGUAUAAUACUGUAAUUAUCAUUUGUUGAAUAUUUCAAUGGAGGCAAUCUAACAGGCAUAUAAACGUAAAUUUACUGAUGAAUGAAGAGAUACCAUGAACAAGAGCCUCAAUAUACAUCUUAUUACUCUGGUACUCAGUAGUAUAGCUGUAAUCACCAGCAUUAGUGCCGAAGGAGUACAUUCGUGUCCGUUGAUAAGAAACGUUUCCUGUAUGUCACCAGGUGUAGACAGUAUAGUUUGUUUUUGUGAAUGUUUGGAUGUUACAAUAAACAGAAUGGAAUUGACAAUUACAUAUUUUCCAUGCAUGGAGCUUCUAGAACAAUGUCAUAUCUACGAAUUUUGGUUUGAAAUAGAGUUAAAUGACGAGAAUGGACAUGUUAUCAAUAAAACGAAAAUUGUUCCAAACUACAGAACCGAUAACGGGUCAAAGUUGUUGCUUUUAAAUGGAUUGACAAAAUCACUUGAUCGCAAACUGAAGCUGAACAGGCAGUAUACAAUCUUAAUUCAGCCAGGUUGCACUAUUUGUGAUGACAAUUGUGCAUCUAUAGGUCAUAUAGAAAUACCAGUGGAAACCAGCACAAGUCCUAUAAAUGCUAAAAAGAAUGAACCCGAAAACUUGCCGAUUGUUCCGAUUUUACUGGGUAUUCUUGUUGUGUUCGUGAUGGCUAUUAAUGCGUUUAUUAUUUUCUUUAGAUGGCGACGGACUGCACGUCAGUUACCCGCUAACAACAUAGAAUAUUCGAGAGCUUUACAACAAGUUCAUAUAGUAAAUUCUAUAAACUAAAGUCAAAUAUUCAUAAAUGUAUUCAUACAAGAAUUUAUAGAACAGCUGAUUCCUGGAUAAUAAAAAUUGAAAAGAAAAAACUAUUACAUUUACUGAUAAUUAUUUAUUCUGUAUACUAUUAUUUACCCAUACUCGCUCCCUUCGGUUUUUUUUUUCGCCUCGUUUUGUAUAUUCUGAAAGGAUUUAUGUGAUUUGAACAUCAGUUAACUACUGUGCCUCUUUCUAUUACUAGCUGUUAAUUCCAUACCUGGGUCAAAACCACUUCGGUUUGUUAAAACAUAAUUUUUAUGAACUCGUGUGCUUAUCUAACACUUAAUUUUACAAUGAUGCAUUUCUUCUACCUGAAACCUAUAACGUUGAAAUAAUAGCCAUCAAAUUAAGUUUCUUUUUGUUGUUUUGUUUUAAAAUGCUUUGUUGCUUUUAUCUUUUAAUUAUGUGGGUACAUUAAUUGCAAAAUCAUUCCCUUAUGUUUUUUUUUAUUUAAAUAUUUCAUUUCC